UCCAUUAUAAUAGACGAGUGCCCAGGGG
rnacentral:sRNA from 1 species